GACAGAGGGUGCAAACGUUUGUUCGGAAUUACUGGGCGUAAAGCGAGUGUAGGCGGUUUGGUAAGUCGGAUGUGAAAGCCCCGGGCUCAACCCGGGAAGUGCACUCGAUACUGCCAAGCUAGAGUAUCGGAGAGGUUGGUGGAAUUCUCGGUGUAGAGGUGAAAUUCGUAGAUAUCGAGAGGAACACCGGUGGCGAAGGCGGCCAACUGGACGAAUACUGACGCU
rnacentral:rRNA from 1 species